UAUUAUACUAAUUAAUAUAUAAUAUCUUAGAUUAUUAAUAGGUAUGUUCUUUAAAUUUGAAGAAUUUGGCGGUGGUUUAGUCUUGUUAGAGGAGCCUGUUUUUGAAUCGAUACACCACGCAUUAUCUUACUCAUUUUAUUUAGUUUGUAUACCGUCAUUAUCAGAUAAUCUUCAAAAAGUAAAUUGUUGAGAUUUAAAAAGAAUAUAAGUAAAAUUAGAUCAAGGUGCAGCUUAUAAAUGAGUUAAAAUGGGCUACAAUAAAACUUAUUUAUAAUGAAAUAAUAAUUAGAAAUUGAAUUAUGAAGGUGGAUUUAAUUGUAAUGGGAGUUUAAUAAGCCGAAAAGAUAUAAGCUCUAAGCCAU
rnacentral:rRNA from 1 species